rnacentral:rRNA from 1 species
UACAGAGGGUGCGAGCGUUAAUCGGAAUUACUGGGCGUAAAGCGUGCGUAGACGGUUAUCUAAGUCGGAUGUGAAAGCCCCGGGCUCAACCUGGGAAUUGCAUUCGAGACUGAAUAGCUAGGGUGCGGUAGAGGGAAGCGGAAUUUCCGGUGUAGCGGUGAAAUGCGUAGAUAUCAUCUGGAACGCCAAUGGUGAAACAGCUCGCUGGGGGUUGCAAGACGCUGAGAGUACGAAAGCCAGGGGAG